rnacentral:lncRNA from 1 species
UCGGGUCUCAGAACGGGCACUUGGGUUUUUAAUAGAACUAUUCACCAGGGAAAUUGGAAAGCCCCAGAGGAAGAAAGACGUGAUGUACUAACAUCUGUUAACCAAACAGCAGAACUUUUAAAGCGUUCAAUACAAGGCACCGUUUUUAGCCUUGUGGAGACAAAGGAAGAAACCAAUAUUAAUUGAGCAUCUGUUAUGUUCAAGAAUUCCUUCAUAUCUUGAUUCACCAAGUGUUCAUCUACUGCCUUCCCUAUGCUGUGUGUGGGGGCGGUGAAUGAGAAAGCUCUUGCCCUCAUAGGGCUUUCGGUCUCAGAAGUGCCAGGCCCUGUGCUGGGCAGUCAUCCUGAAGCUUCCAACUGUGCUUUGUAAUUUGCUGUGUGCAUAUCCAUCACUUCCCUGGAUCGUGGCAACCUACUUCGGACGGAGGAGUGUGUCCAUUCUGUGGCGUCAUGCCCUUUAGCUCCUGAGCGGCCCCUCAAGACGAAUGGGACAGAAGAACCUUCAUGCACACAUUCCUUACAGUUACACUGACAGCCUCUUGCCAUCCUCUGAAACAAACAGGAAACACAGAAUCAGAAAUAUCCAGGGAUCCUGCUUUUCUCUUUUUAAAAAGUGUUUCUGGGCAAUCUGAAUGUCAUGUAGUUAAUAAGUUGGGAAAGAGACUCCGUAAAUCAAUAAAGAAACUGAUAUUGGAUUACGUUAGUUGCCUGUGAUAGAUGAGAUCUUCAACAUACCAAGACAACGCCUACCUCGAAUGCAGCUGCCCAAGUGAGACUCUUAAAAUAGGGAUGUAAUCAGGGAUUUGCUCACGUGCUCAAUUCCAAAUUCCUAAGCGUGGUUCUCAAUUGUGGCCUCAUUCUCCACUACUUUCGGUUCAAACACUCAGUACUUCAGAUCAGGUACACUCCUCAGGCCUCAUGUAAGCUUUCUAAGUCAUUGCACAUGGUGACUCCUCUGUUGUAUUUUCUGCAUACCUCAGGUAGCAGGUCAGAUGUCACUUCCUCUCUGAAGAGUUCUUCUCUGAUCUUUCAGAGCAUUGUAUAAAUCUCCUGUCUCUGUUGAGCCCUCAUUACAUGGCAUUGUGGUGGGUUUGUUUUUGUUU